rnacentral:rRNA from 1 species
UAGGUGUAGGCGCAGCGAAAGCGAGUCUGAAUAGGGCGAUUGAGUUUGAUGCAUUAGACCCGAAACCCGGCGAUCUAGGCAUGACCAGAGUGAAGGUGCGGUAACACGCACUGGAGGCUCGAACCGAUUAACGUUGAAAAGUUACCGGAUGAGUUGUGUUUAGGGGUGAAAGGCCAAUCAAGCCGGGAAAUAGCUGGUUCUCCGCGAAAACUAUUGAGGUAGUGCCUCGGAUGUUUUCCGAUGGGGGUAGAGCACUGGAUGGGCUAGGGGGCCGCGAGGUCUACCAAACCUAACCAAACUCCGAAUACCAUCGAGUAUAGUCCGGGAGACAGACGGCGGGUGCUAAGGUCCGUCGUCAAAAGGGAAACAGCCCUAACCUACAGCUAAGGUCCCCAAGUCAUCACUAAGUGGGAAAGCAUGUGGGAAUCCCAAAACAACCAGGAGGUUGGCUUAGAAGCAGCCAUCCUUUAAAGAAAGCGUAACAGCUCACUGGUCUAAUUAAGGGUUCCUGCGGCGAAGAUGUAACGGGGCUAAAGUGAUGCACCGAAGCUUAGGGUUCAGAUCUUUGAUCUGAGCGGUAGCGGAGCGUUCCGUAAGCCUGUGAAGCGGGAGGGUAACCGACCGUGGAGGUAUCGGAAGUGCGAAUGCUGACAUGAGUAGCGAUAAAGAGGGUGAGAUGCCCUCUCGCCGAAAGCCCAAGGGUUCCUGCGCAAGGCUAAUCCGCGCAGGGUGAGUCGGCCCCUAAGACGAGCCCGAAGGGGGUAGUCGAUGGGAAGCAGGUUAAUAUUCCUGCACCUGGUGGUGUGUGACGGAUCUCGUAAGUCGUCAGUCCUUAUUGGAUUGGACUGGCGGCGAAGAGGUUCCAGGAAACAGCCCCACCUCCCUUUAAUGGGAAGACCGUACCCGAAACCGACACAGGUGGGCAGGUAGAGUAUACCAAGGCGCUUGAGAGAAGGGUGUUGAAGGAACUCGGCAAAUUGCCUCCGUACCUUCGGAAGAAGGAGGCCCUCAUCGCGGGCAACCGCUUUGAGGGGGCACAGGCCAGGGGGUAGCGACUGUUUAACAAAAACACAGGGCUCUGCUAAGUCGGCUUCAAGACGACGUAUAGGGUCUGACGCCUGCCCGGUGCCGGAAGGUUAAGAGGAGGAGUGCAAGCUCCGAAUUGAAGCCCCGGUAAACGGCGGCCGUAACUAUAACGGUCCUAAGGUAGCGAAAUUCCUUGUCGGGUAAGUUCCGACCUGCACGAAUGGCGUAACGACUUCCCCACUGUCUCCAACACCUGCUCAGCGAAAUUGAAUUCUCCGUGAAGAUGCGGAGUACCCGCGGUUAGACGGAAAGACCCCGUGCACCUUUACUGCAGCUUCAGAGUGGCAGUGGAAAACAACUGUGUAGAAUAGGUGGGAGGCUUUGAAGCCCGGGCGCCAGCUCGGGUGGAGCCACCUGUGAAAUACCACCCUGUUGUUUUCUACAGUCUAACCUCGCACCGUUAUCCGGUGCAGGGACCCUCUGUGGCGGGUAGUUUGACUGGGGCGGUCGCCUCCUAAAGAGUAACGGAGGCGCGCGAUGGUGGGCUCAGGACGGUUGGAAACCGUCUGUU